GAAGGGGCAGAGCCAUUCCCUGGGAUCACAGGUGAAAGCAAUUCACCUGUGCAACCGGAAGGGAUGGAACCAGGUUCCACCCCUUCCUAAACCUCACUUAAGAGCUGGCUGCCACAAGGGAAGGAUCUCUGCCUGGAGACCUCUUUUUGGGGUAUUAGGGAGUUGUGUUCCUUGAGUCUGUGCCAAUCCUUCAACAAACUCCUCAGCGACAGAGCAAAGGCUUUUUUCCCCACAACUUGUUGGGAUGCCCAUGUUCCUAUGAGCUUGGACGAAUGCUUUCUAGUAGUCUGUGACCUUACAGUGAUGGAUUCAGAGAUGUGAUUUAGAGCAUUCUGUGCACCCGCUUCUAGCUGACGCAUGCUAUGCACAUACCAGGAUCCACAUUAUUGAUGAUUUUGAGGAAAAAUCAAGGCCCCCAUGUACAGGUAAGAGCUAUACCCCACUGAAAAUAAGCACAGAAGACUACUCAGCAUGUAACUGUGAGUGUCCAUGCUAGGGUGUGUUUGGCCAGCCAUGCUAAAUGCAUCCAAACCCCAGUGCCCACACUCCUGCUGGCACUGCUCCAUCUCCCAUUUAUUAUAGCUCUGCCUCUUUCCCUCUAAUAGAUUCUGGCAGAUUCUCCAGUCCCACUAUUUCUAAUCCUGACCUCCCUUUGCCAAACUGUAGAGGCAGUUUGGGGAAAAGGAAAAACAAAACAAAGCAGCCAUCAUCUUCAGCUGAAACUCACCCGCCUGUGUGGCUGCCUUCCAACAUGUCUACCAAUGCCUGGUUGCUCCCAGGGCUACUGCAGGAGUUGGAAACUUGAGGGGAAAGAGAAAAAAUACACAAAAGGCAGAGAAAUGGAUGUGUUAGUGGCUUCAAAAGCAACAGCCAUCUGUUUUCCUUACUCACUGGCAGCCGCAGGAGCUCCCUGCAGUGAGAAUGGAGAUUUGGCAGGUUUCUGUAACCCUGUUGAGCUUUUACUAUCCCUACCAGCAGUCCCUGCUACUUCUCUGCACACCAUCAGACCAAUUAUACUUUGACUUUUUCCUGCAGCAGCAGCAUCAUUUCCUGUAGAGCCUUAUACCCAUGACCAUGCUAACAACAAAUACCUAGUCAAAAACAGCAAAGUUCAACUACUGCUUAAGCAAUGAAGGUGCUUAAAUUUUCAAUUAAUAGGACAUUGCAGCCAUGCUGCAUCCAAGCCACAGA
ensembl:lncRNA